GACCGACGUCAGGUAACCCGUGAGAUGUACCGAGACAUGCUGUUCCGAUGAUUUGCGGUGCAGUCGGUGGAAUAACGUUACCUGUCAUAUCAAUUAUGACGGUAACAUUAUCGAUAUUAACCAGUAUAGCGCCUUUUGGGGCGACUAACGGAGCGAGCGAGGGGGCAGGCGGUGCCGUCCAGGCCAAACUGGGCGAACGCGGCGCGGAUAGACGAGAACACAGAUGACCUCUCCAUCAGCUGGCGCGCCUGUCUACCCGUGGCCCCCGCCGGAGGCGUG